GAUGAAGAACGUAGCGAAAUGCGAUAAGUAGUGUGAAUUGCAGUAUUCAGUGAAUCAUCGAAUCUUUGAACGCACAUUGCGCCCUUUGGUAUUCCAAAGGGCAUGCCUGUUCGAGCGUCAUUUGUACCCUCAAGCUUUGCUUGGUGUUGGGCGUCUUGUCUCUAGCUUUGCUGGAGACUCGCCUUAAAGUAAUUGGCAGCCGGCCUACUGGUUUCGGAGCGCAGCACAAGUCGCACUCUCUAUCAGCAAAGGUCUAGCAUCCAUUAAGCCUUUUUUUCAACUUUUGACCUCGGAUCAGGUAGGGAUACCCGCUGAACUUAAGCAUAUCAAUAAGCGGAGGA
rnacentral:misc_RNA from 1 species